rnacentral:rRNA from 1 species
GGGAAUCCUACGGGAGGCCAACAGAGGGGAAUCUUAGCCAAUGGGCGCAAGCCUGAUCUAGCCAUGCCGCGUGAGUGAUGAAGGCCCUAGGGUCGUAAAGCUCUUUCAUACUGUGAAGAUAAUGACGGUACCAGUAGAAGAAGCCCCGGCUAACUCCGUGCCAGAAGCCGCGGUA